UACGUAGGGUGCGAGCGUUAAUCGGAAUUACUGGGCGUAAAGCGUGCGCAGGCGGUUCGUUGUGUCGGCGGUGAAAGCCCCGGGCUUAACCUGGGAAUGGCCGUUGAAACUGGCGAACUGGAGUGUGGCAGAGGGGGGUGGAAUUCCGCGUGUAGCAGUGAAAUGCGUAGAGAUGCGGAGGAACACCGAUGGCGAAGGCAGCCCCCUGGGCGUAACACUGACGCUCAGGCACGAAAGCGUGGGGAGCAAACAGG
rnacentral:rRNA from 1 species